AAGGUAAUGGCGGACGGCUGAGUAACACGUGGGGACCUGCCCUAAAGUAGGGAAUAGCUCACCGAAAGGUGGGGUAAUACUCUAUAUCCAGUUUACUGGAAAGAGCUUAACUGCUCGCUUAAGGAUGGACCUGCGUCCUAUCAGAUAGUUGGUGAGGUAAAGGCUUACCAAGUCUAUGACGGGUAGCUGGCCUGAGAAGGUGGUCAGCCAGAGGAGCACUGAGAUACGGGCUCC
rnacentral:rRNA from 1 species